rnacentral:rRNA from 1 species
UCAGGAUGAACGCUGGCGGCAGGCUAAUACAUGCAAGUUGAACGGUAACAUGUUGUAGCAAUACGAUGAUGACGAGUGGCGCACGGGUGCGUAACACGUGUGUAACCUACCUUAUACAGGAACAUAACGUUGAGAAAUCGGCGCUAACAUUCCAUAAUAUUAUUUGUAGGCAUCUAUGAAUAAUUAAAACUCCGGUGGUAUAAGAUGGGCACGCGUUCCAUUAGCUAGUUGGUAAGGUAACGGCUUACCAAGGCAACGAUGGAUAGGGGUUCUGAGAGGAUAAUCCCCCACACUGGAACUGAGACACGGUCCAGACUCCUACGGGAGGCAGCAGUAAGGAAUAUUGGGCAAUGGAGGCAACUCUGACCCAGCCAUGCCGCCGUGCAGGAAGACGGCCCUAUGGGUUGUAAACUGCUUUUAAGAGGGAUUAAAGUCGACUACGUGUAGUUGUUUGCAAGUACCUAUAGAAUAAGCAUCGGCUAACUCCGUGCCAGCAGCCGC